CCUACGGGUGGCAGCAGUGAGGAAUAUUGGUCAAUGGACGGGAGACUGAACCAGCCAAGCCGCGUGCAGGAGGACGGUACUGUGUAUUGUAAACUUCUUUUGUACGGGAAUAAACACAGGUACGCGUCUCUGUCUGAGAGUAUCGUACGAAAAAGCAUCGGCUAACUCCGUGCCAGCAGCCGCGGUAAUACGGAGGAUUCAAGCGUUAUCCGGAUUUAUUGGGUUUAAAGGGUGCGUAGGCGGUCUGUUAAGUUAGGGGGUAAAUCCCGGGGCUCAACUCCGGAAUCGCCGUUGAUACUGUCCGGCUAGAGAGGAGGUGAGGUAGGCGGAAUGCAUGGUGUAGCGGUGAAAUGCGUAGAGAUCACACAGAACAACGAUUGCGAAGGCAGCUUACC
rnacentral:rRNA from 1 species